GCCUUGGUGGUGGAAUGGUAGACACAGUUGAUUCAAAAUCAACCACCUUUUUGGUAUGGAGGUUCAAGUCCUCUUCAAGGCA
rnacentral:tRNA from 1 species